UUCAAGAAGCCCUAGCAGGCUUGUCUGGGAUAAAUUUGUGUGGUGGGGGGAGGUUGUCCACGGUUUUGGAGACCUUCCAGUACACCCCCACCUCAGUUUGAUAAA
rnacentral:lncRNA from 1 species